CAAAUGAUUGUUUAAUUCUCAAAAAUACAAACGAAGUUUGAAAAUCAUGAGAUUUUGCAAGAUGCUUUGAUUUCGUAUGCAGAGGCCGUCGUAAAAAAUUGAUAAGGUUUCGCACAAGUUUUGACAUAUGAUGUUUACAAUUCGAAGCAUCUCCGGAGAGGUUUCAGAGAAGUUCAAAGGAUCCGGUAAGAUUUUGAGAUGAAUCGAUAAAUGUAAUUCUCAUUGAGUCCAAAUUUUUUUUAUAGGCUAUAGAGAACAUAGAUAGGUUCAUGUCAAAUUUUGGGAAAUUUUCAGAUCCGUUUGGUAAUUUUUAUUCAUUAAUUGGACGUAUAUGAAUUUAAUAGAUAUAAAUUAAAUAUGAGCUAUAAAUCCAUGAAAUAAUGGUACAAUAUUACUUAAAAAAUGAAAUACGCAAUGUUUAGUGAAUUGGACUAGGUUUACACAAAGUUUACGUCCUUUUAAUUACUAAAAGUGGUGUUGUACAUGCAAUAUAGGUAGGUGUUUGCCGAGUG
rnacentral:lncRNA from 1 species